GUGAGGAAUAUUGGUCAAUGGGCGGGAGCCUGAACCAGCCAAGUCGCGUGAAGGAAGAAGGAUCUAUGGUUCGUAAACUUCUUUUGCAGGGGAAUAAAGUGCAGGACGUGUCCUGUUUUGUAUGUACCCUGAGAAUAAGGAUCGGCUAACUCCGUGCCAGCAGCCGCGGUAAUACGGAGGAUCCGAGCGUUAUCCGGAUUUAUUGGGUUUAAAGGGUGCGUAGGUGGUUUGAUAAGUCAGCGGUGAAAGUUUGCAGCUUAACUGUAAAAUUGCCGUUGAAACUGUCGAUCUUGAGUGCAAAUGAGGUAAGCGGAAUGUGUUGUGUAGCGGUGAAAUGCUUAGAUAUAACACAGAACACCGAUUGCGAAGGCAGCUUACUGGGAUGCAACUGACGCUCAUGCACGAAAGCGUGGGGAUCAAACAGGAUUAGAUACCCGAGUAGUCC
rnacentral:rRNA from 1 species